UACAGAGGUCUCAACCGUUGUUCGGAUUCAUUGGGCGUAAAGGGUGCGUAGGCGGUCGCGCAAGUCGGAUGUGAAUCUCAGGCUCAACCCUGAACUGCAUUUCGAUACUGCGUGGCUAGAGUGUGGAGGGGAGACUGGAAUUUACGGUGUAGCAUGAAUGCGUAGAUAUCGUAAGGAAGACCAGUGGCGAAGGCGAGUCUCUGGACAGCAACUGACGCUGAGCACGAAGGCCAGGGAGGCAAACGGG
rnacentral:rRNA from 1 species